rnacentral:tRNA from 1 species
GCGAGUGUGCUCCUGGGAGAGUAGUCAGCCUCCAAAACUGACGGACAGGGUUCGAAUCCUUGCGCUCGUGC